CUCUGAAUGGCGCUACCAUAAUUGAUAUCAAGAGGACUACUGCUGCAGAUGACCUUUUUGUUGUGCUGCCAUCUGGUAAAGCUGUUGAAGAAUUGCAGCCACGUUUUGAUGAGGUUCUGAAAUGUCCCGGAAGGGGGAUUAUUGUUUCUGGAGUUGCUCCACCAGAGUCUGGUUUUGAUUUUUAUAGUCGUUUCUUCUGCCCGAAAUUCAGAGUCAAUGAGGAUCCUGUUUGUGGGAGUGCACAUUGUGCCUUAGCACCCUAUUGGAGUAAAAAGCUGGGGAAGUGUGAUUUUAUGGCAUAUGUGGCAUCACGUAGAAGUGGAAAAUUGAGCAUUCAUUUGGAUGUGCAGAAUGAUAGAGUGCUGCUGCGAGGGA
rnacentral:misc_RNA from 1 species